rnacentral:lncRNA from 1 species
AUAAAACUAUGGUUGAGUGUCCUGAGAGGUCAAAUUGCUGUAAGAAAAGUCCAUGUGAUCAUACGUAUUCAAAAUCAUUAAUACAACAUUUUAAAAGAAUCAUCUAAAUAAAGACAUGGCCCCUGAACAUGGACAUGGACAUGAACAUGGUCAGGGAAAACUAGAACUUCCAGAUUAUAGGUAAUGGAAGAUAGAAGGGACACCAUUACAAACUGUCCAGGAGAAGCUGGCUGCAAAAGGCCUCAGGGAUCCAUGGGGCCGCAAUGAAGCUUGGAGAUACGUGGGUGGCUUUGCACACAAUGUUUCCUUUGUUGGUGUAUUAUUAAAAGGAUUUAAAUGGGGAUUUGCUGCUUUUGUGGUAGCCAUAGGGGCCAAAUAUUAUCUGGAGUCCCAGAAAAAAGAUAACAAUCAUCACUGAAGAUAGUAUCUGGAAAUAUCUUAGUGACUCCUUAAUUCUCUUAUAUCGUACUUGUCUAUGUGUUUGUCCCUUAAAGAAUACUAGUAAGGUUUAAUAAAGCAAGAAAAAUAUGCUGAGAAAAAACUUGCAAACCAGGAAUUAUAUACCCAGCAAAUAUGUCUUUCAAGAAUGAGAGCCAAUUACCAGGUAGAUAUUUCCAGACAAAAAUGAGCAAGUUUUCCCACAUCACACUCUCAUUAAAGAAGAUUCUAAACAGCACAGAACAGGCAGAAGGACUG